rnacentral:rRNA from 1 species
GACGGGGGGGGCAAGUGUUCUUCGGAAUGACUGGGCGUAAAGGGCACGUAGGCGGUGAAUCGGGUUGAAAGUGAAAGUCGCCAAAAAGUGGCGGAAUGCUCUCGAAACCAAUUCACUUGAGUGAGACAGAGGAGAGUGGAAUUUCGUGUGUAGGGGUGAAAUGCAUAGAUAUCAGGAGGAACACCAGCGGCGAAGGCGGCACUCUGGGCUGGAACUGACGCUGAGGAGCGAAAGCGUGGGGAGCGAACAGG